CAAAUAAAGCCAAAGUGGUAUUCUUGAAGCAAAGGUCUCGUCAUCAACAACAAAGCAAUUCAAUGGAUUAUUGCUGCACCAUUUGUAACAAAAGUCUGCAAGAUAAUUUACUCUACUGCAGCAUAGCUUGCAAGGUUUUAGAUAUAUGCGGAGAUGAUGAACCUAAACUCGUGCGCUGUCUCAAAGACGAAGAUGGUGAAGAGGCGCCAUUUGUUCCACGUCUACCGUUAACCAGGAAGCCAAGGCUAAGGCGCUCUAGAAAAGGCGUCCCUCUACGGGCUCCCAUGUUCUAAUGAAUAGAGAUCAAUCUAGUUCUAGAUAUAUAUUGCCGAGGGAAGUUCGGCUUUUCUGGAAAAUUCUUUCUUUCAAAUAUCAUUUAUGUAGAAUUGACAAUCUGGUUUUGUCUCCUUGAGGGUUUGAGAGUAUGAGUUCAACAAAGCAAGCUCUCACUCUGUUCAUCCCAUCACUUCAAAUACUCGGACUAUCUAUGUAAAGUCUAAAAAUAAUACUUCCAUGAAAGAUAAUACCAACCUUUGAG